rnacentral:rRNA from 1 species
GUAGGGGGCAAGCGUUAUCCGGAUUUACUGGGUGUAAAGGGAGCGUAGACGGCUGUGCAAGUCUGAAGUGAAAGGCAUGGGCCCAACCUGUGGACUGCUUUGGAAACUGUGCAGCUAGAGUGUCGGAGAGGUAAGUGGAAUUCCUAGUGUAGCGGUGAAAUGCGUAGAUAUUAGGAGGAACACCAGUGGCGAAGGCGGCUUACUGGGCGAUGACUGACGUUGAGGCUCGAAAGCGUGGGGAGCAAACAGGAUUAGAUACCCUGGUAGUCCACGCCGUAAACGAUGACUGCUAGGUGUCGGGUAGCAAAGCUAUUCGGUGCCGCAGCUAACGCAAUAAGCAGUCCACCUGGGGAGUACGUUCGCAAGAAUG